AGGGAAUCUUCCGCAAUGGACGAAAGUCUGACGGAGCAACGCCGCGUGAGUGAAGAAGGCCUUCGGGUCGUAAAGCUCUGUUGUUAGGGAAGAAUAAGUACGAGAGUAAAUGCUCGUACCUUGACGGUACCUAACCAGAAAGCCACGGCUAACUACGUGCCAGCAGCCGCGGUAAUACGUAGGUGGCAAGCGUUGUCCGGAAUUAUUGGGCGUAAAGCGCGCGCAGGUGGUUUCUUAAGUCUGAUGUGAAAGCCCACGGCUCAACCGUGGAGGGUCAUUGGAAACUGGGAAACUUGAGUGCAGAAGAGGAAAGUGGAAUUCCAUGUGUAGCGGUGAAAUGCGUAGAGAUAUGGAGGAACACCAGUGGCGAAGGCGACUUUCUGGUCUGUAACUGACACUGAGGCGCGAAAGCGUGGGGAGCAAACAGGAUUAGAUACCCUGGUAGUCCACGCCGUAAACGAUGAGUGCUAAGUGUUAGAGGGUUUCCGCCCUUUAGUGCUGAAGCUAACGCAUUAAGCACUCCGCCUGGGGAGUACGGCCGCAAGGCUGAAACUCAAAGGAAUUGACGG
rnacentral:rRNA from 1 species